AGCGAACGCUGGCGGCAGGCCUAACACAUGCAAGUCGAACGACCCCUUCGGGGUUAGUGGCGGACGGGUGAGUAACACGUGGGAACGUGCCUUUAGGUUCGGAAUAACUCAGGGAAAAUUGUGCUAAUACCGCAUGAGCACUUCGGGGGAAAGAUUUAUCGCCUAUAGAGGGGCCCGCGUCUGAUUAGCUAGUUGGUUGAGGUAAUGGCUCACCAAGGCGACGAUCAGUAGCUGGUCUGAGAGGAUGAUCAGCCACAUUGGGACUGAGACACGGCCCAAACUCCUACGGGAGGCAGCAGUGGGGAAUCUUGCACAAUGGGCGAAAGCCUGACGCAGCCAUGCCGCGUGAGUGAUGAAGGCCUUAGGGUUGUAAAAUUCUUUCACCCGGGACGAUAAUGACGGUACCGGGAGAAUAAGCCCCGGCUAACUUCGUG
rnacentral:rRNA from 1 species